rnacentral:rRNA from 1 species
GUCUAUGGCCAUGCCACCCUAAAUAAGCCAGAUCCCAUCUGAUCUCAGAAGCUAAGCAGGGUCGGGCCUGGUUAGUACUUGGAUAAAAGAACACCUACGAAGAUCAGGUGCUGUAGGUG